rnacentral:rRNA from 1 species
AAGAACAAGUACCGUUCGAAUAGGGCGGUACCUUGACGGUACCUAACCAGAAAGCCACGGCUAACUACGUGCCAGCAGCCGCGGUAAUACGUAGGUGGCAAGCGUUGUCCGGAAUUAUUGGGCGUAAAGCGCGCGCAGGCGGUCUUUUAAGUCUGAUGUGAAAGCCCACGGCUCAACCGUGGAGGGUCAUUGGAAACUGGAGGACUUGAGUGCAGAAGAGGAGAGUGGAAUUCCACGUGUAGCGGUGAAAUGCGUAGAUAUGUGGAGGAACACCAGUGGCGAAGGCGGCUCUCUGGUCUGUAACUGACGCUGAGGCGCGAAAGCGUGGGGAGCAAACAGGAUUAGAUACCCUGGUAGUCCACGCCGUAAACGAUGAGUGCUAGGUGUUGGGGGGUUCCACCCUCAGUGCUGAAGUUAACACAUUAAGCACUCCGCCUGGGGAGUACGACCGCAAGGUUGAAACUCAAAGGAAUUGACGGGGGCCCGCACAAGCAGUGGAGCAUGUGGUUUAAUUCGAAGCAACGCGAAGAACCUUACCAGGUCUUGACAUCCUCUGACAAUCCUGGAGACAGGACGUUCCCCUUCGGGGGACAGAGUGACAGGUGGUGCAUGGUUGUCGUCAGCUCGUGUCGUGAGAUGUUGGGUUAAGUCCCGCAACGAGCGCAACCCUUGAUCUUAGUUGCCAGCAUUUAGUUGGGCACUCUAAGGUGACUGCCGGUGACAAACCGGAGGAAGGUGGGGAUGACGUCAAAUCAUCAUGCCCCUUAUGACCUGGGCUACACACGUGCUACAAUGGACGGUACAAAGGGCAGCAACACCGCGAGGUGAAGCGAAUCCCAUAAAGCCGUUCUCAGUUCGGAUUGCAGGCUGCAACUCGCCUGCAUGAAGCCGGAAUUGCUAGUAAUCGCGG